rnacentral:rRNA from 1 species
AGGACGAACGCUGGCGGCGUGCUUAACACAUGCAAGUCGAGCGGUAAGGCCUUUCGGGGUACACGAGCGGCGAACGGGUGAGUAACACGUGGGUGAUCUGCCCUGCACUUCGGGAUAAGCCUGGGAAACUGGGUCUAAUACCGGAUAUGACCUCCUAUCGCAGUGGUGGGUGGUGGAAAGUAUUUACGUCGGUGCAGGAUCGGGCCCGCGGCUAUCAGUCGUUGGUUGGGUGGGUAAUGGACCUACGAAGGGCGACGACGGGUACGCCGACCUGGACGAGGGUCGACCGGCCACGACGUGGGACUGAGACCACGGCCCAGACCUCCGUACGGGAGCAGCGAGGUGGGAAAUCGUAG